rnacentral:rRNA from 1 species
GGUUCGAUUAUGGCCUGGGGAUUGAACGCUGGCGGGAUGCUUUACACAUGCAAGUCGAACGGCAGCACGACUUGGUCUGGUGGCGAGUGGCGAACGGGUGAGUAAUGUAUCGGAACGUGCCUAGUAGCGGGGGAUAACUACGCGAAAGCGUAGCUAAUACCGCAUACGCCCUUCGGGGGAAAGCGGGGGACCUUCGGGCCUCGCACUAUUAGAGCGGCCGAUAUCGGAUUAGCUAGUUAUGGGGUAACGGCUCACCAAGGCGACGAUCCGUAGCUGGUUUAUGAGGACGACCAGCCACACUGGGACUGAGACACGGCCCAGACUCCUACGGGAGGCAGCAGUGGGGAAUUUGGACAAUGGGGAACCCGAUCCAGCCAUCCCGCGUGUGCGAUGAAGGCCUUUCGGGUUGUAAAGCACUUUUGGCAGGGAAAGAAAUGGCACGGGAUAAUACCCCGUGCAACUGACGGUACCUGCAGAAUAAGCACCGGCUAACCACGUGCCAGCAGCCGCGGUAAUACGUGGGUGCAAGCGUUAAUCGGAAUUACUGGGCGUGAAGCGUGCGCAGGCGGUUCGGAAAGAAAGAUGUGAAAUCCCAGAGCUUAACUUUGGAACUGCAUUUUUAACUACCGAGCUAGAGUGUGUCAGAGGGGAGGUGGAAAUCUCGCGUGUAGCAGUGAAAUGCGUAGAUAUGCGGAGGAACACCGAUGGCGAAGGCAGCCUCCUGGGAUAACACUGACGCUCAUGCACGAAAGCGUGGGGAGCAAACAGGAUUAGAUACCCUGGUAGUCCACGCCCUAAACGAUGUCAACUAGCUGUUGGGGCCUUCGGGCCUUGUAGCGCAGCUAACGCGUGAAGUUGACCGCCUGGGGAGUACGGUCGCAAGAUUAAAACUCAAAGGAAUGGACGGGACCUCCGCACAAAGCGGUGGAUGAUGUGGAUUAAUUCGAUGCAACGCGAAAAACCUUACCUACCCUUGACAUGUUCGGAAUCCCGAAGAGAUUUGGGGAGUGCCCGCAAGAGAACCGGAACACAGGUGCUGCAUGGCUGUCGUCAGCUCGUGUCGAGAUGUUGGGUUAAGUCCCGCAACGAGCGCAACCCUUGUCAUUAGUUGCUACGAAAGGGCACUCUAAUGAGACUGCCGGUGACAAACCGGAGGAAGGUGGGGAUGACGUCAAGUCCUCAUGGCCCUUAUGGGUAGGGCUUCACACGUCAUACAAUGGUCGGGACAGAGGGCUAACCCGCGAGGGGAGCCAUCCCAGAAACCCGAUCGUAGUCCGGAUCGCAGUCUGCAAACUCGACUGCGUGAAGUCGGAAUCGCUAGUAAUCGCGGAUCAGCAUGUCGCGGUGAAUACGUUCCCGGGUCUUGUACACUGCCCGUCACACCAUGGGAGUGGGUUUUACCAGAAGUAGUUAGCCUAACCGUAAGGAGGGCGAUUACCACGGUAGGAUUCAUGACUGGGGUGAAGUCGUAACAAGGUAA